rnacentral:rRNA from 1 species
CUACGGGAGGCACCAGUGGGGAAUAUUGCACAAUGGGCGCAAGCCUGAUGCAGCCAUGCCGCGUGUAUGAAGAAGGCCUUCGGGUUGUAAAGUACUUUCAGCGAGGAGGAAGGGAGUAAAGUUAAUACCUUUGCUCAUUGACGUUACCCGCAGAAGAAGCACCGGCUAACUCCGUGCCAGCAGCCGCGGUAAUACGGAGGGUGCAAGCGUUAAUCGGAAUUACUGGGCGUAAAGCGCACGCAGGCGGUUUGUUAAGUCAGAUGUGAAAUCCCCGGGCUCAACCUGGGAACUGCAUCUGAUACUGGCAAGCUUGAGUCUCGGAGAGGGGGGUAGAAUUCCAGGUGUAGCGGUGAUAUGCGUAGAGAUCUGGAGGAAUACCGGUGGCGAAGGCGGCCCCCUGGACGAAGACUGACGCUCAGGUGCGAAAGCGUGGGGAGCAAACAGGAUUAGAUACCCCUGUAGUC